UGCCCGGUGGUGUAACGGUAGCACAGCAGAUUCUGGAUCUGCUUGUUUAGGUUCGAAUCCUAACUGGGCAACCA
rnacentral:tRNA from 1 species